GGAGAGUAUCUCAUUAGUACCGUCAGCUGUGCUUAAUUGACUCUGGUUACCUUGUCUCCCAUGCUUUGUUGGGCUACUAUCCAUGAGCCCAGCCUGCCCUCUAGUGGUCCUUCCACAAUAACCAUCUCUCACCUGUCAACACCAUUCAACAUGGCCAAAUGUGAACUACAGGUAGCUACCGUCAAAAUCAACUUAACAGUGGUAAGAUUUAAACAAGCUGCUUACAUUGUCAUUUUCUUUUCUUCAGGAAAAAGGAGAAUACAACAUGUGUCUACCUCAACCAGAGUCAUAAAUAUGGACUGCAUAUCUUUCAACUAAUGGGAAAUGUUGUAUCAAAUCGAUAUAUACAGGCUAAUGCUUUGAUAGAGCAUGAUAUGAAUCAGAAUGACUUAUUCAAGAAUGGAAUAUGAACGUCUGUUUCUUACUGUUGGAGGUGAACGGGUCACUGACUGCUGCCACACCGAAGCUCACCAACCUGACCAUCUGUAGCUGUGACCACUUUUUGCCCUCAUGAUCCCUGAUGUGAAACUGAGUGAGGUCCAUGCCAGGACGAUGAGCAUGCUCACCUGUGUGGGUGGAGCCACCUGUGUUCUUCUGCACGUCACCUUACUGACACACUGCCUCCAGCCUUUGUGAGUGACACCCGUCAAGCAAACACACAUUUUAAAUACUUAAAUUGAACCCACCAAUCACAUUACAGUCGAGAAGGAUUCAAACAUUUCAUAGAUCAUGGAUACAGAAAACACAUCCUUCUCCAUACAGCUAAGCUGCCCAUGACUGCUGACAGAGGAGUACCUCGCUAGUUGCUUUGCCUUCGUCCGAUGCAGGUCUGCAAUCUGAAGGCCAUGUACUGUCAGCCUAUGUACAUGGCCAAAGCUCCCAAGUAUCACCACUACAAAUCAAAAGAGCAACUGUAUACAAGAAAACAUCAAACCAGCCUCCUCUGAUAAGAUAAUGUUUGUGAAUAAGCACUGAUGGUGGUACUGUCUGUCUCACCUCACUAGCUAGCAGGUUAAUGAGGCGGUCAUGUCUAGCUAUGUAAAAGUCCUUGUAUGAAUGGCAAACGACCACACACAAAAUCUCUUUCAGAAGGAAAUCUACUGACCAUGUCAUGCUGGUUCAUCUCCAGUUGGGGGCAUUUCUGCUGUUACUCAACCUGCUGCUGUUGAGCAGUGUGGGUUUGGCCUUUGUGGGCCCUGCAUCUAUGGCCCCUGGCCUGUGUCCUACUGUGGCCGCCCUGCUGCACAACUCACUGCUUCACCUGGAUGGGCUAGCAUCUGUACAGGCUGCUGGUCCUAGUCUACAACACCUACAUGAGACUACCUGCUGAAGCCAAGCCUGCUGGGCUGGGGUGCUGGAUAAGACGGAUGUGUUGUACGGCUGUGAUGUGGCUUACCUGUUAGUGGUCCUGCUCUUCAACAGCACCAUCUUCGUCAUCACAACGAUGCUCAAGCUGCGCUCUGUCACGUUGCUGCAGGAGAAGAGGCGGAGCCGCAACAUCACCUGCAGUGUUCUGAGGCUGACCUGCGCCAUGGGCCUCACCUGGGGGCUGGGCUUCUUCUCCAUUGGCUACACCAACUAAGUCAUCCUCUACGUCUUCACCAUCCUCAACUCACUUAAGGGGUUCUUCCUGUUCCUGAGGAUCUGUGUUAAGAGACUGCAGGGGCCAGAACCGAGUUCCAUGACAACUGGACAGAGGUCAAGCACCCACAUUCUCUCCGUUGGAAGCGAGGUCUGGCCCUCUUCUGGAAGAACAAGGCAGUCAGUGCCUAAAGAGGGAGCAAUUGGAGCAAAUACAUCCAAGUUCUGAACAAAAGCUCAAUGAGAUGAAUGGAAAUUACUAAUGGAAAUGAAGUACCGUGAAGGAAUUGUUUGCGUCGGUCCCAAACAGUACAUCACAUUGUUAAAUAAAUAAAUGUUGAAGCAGAUAAUCACUAAGAAAGAACUUGUUGUACUCCUAUCGUUUAAUUUCUUCCUGUUAAAAUUAGAUUGACUGUUUUUAUGCCAUGAUGUAUGCACAUUUCACCUAAAGCCUUCUAUUAUAUUUUCCUGGGAUGGAAAGGGGGGUUGGAUUAGGGUUGGGACUGUUCCCAGAGAUUGUAAUUGUAAUGAAUUGUACACUUUAAUUCUGUAAUAAAUAUACAGUACCAGUCAA